rnacentral:rRNA from 1 species
GGAGUCUAGCAUGUGCGCGAGUCAUUGGGACUAGCGAAACCUAAAGGCGAAAUGAAAGUGAAGGUCGGCCUCGCGCCGACCGAGGGAGGAUGGGCCGCGUCACGGCGCGGCCCCGCACUCCCGGGGCGUCUCGUUCUCAUCGCGAGAAGAGGCGCACCCAGAGCGUACACGCUGGGACCCGAAAGAUGGUGAACUAUGCCUGGCCAGGACGAAGUCAGGGGAAACCCUGAUGGAGGUCCGAAGCGAUUCUGACGUGCAAAUCGAUCGUCGGAGCUGGGUAUAGGGGCGAAAGACCAAUCGAACCGUCUAGUAGCUGGUUCCCUCCGAAGUUUCCCUCAGGAUAGCUGGCGCUCGCUUUUGCGAGUCUCAUCUGGUAAAGCGAAUGAUUAGAGGCAUUGGGGUCGAAACGGCCUCAACCUAUUCUCAAACUUUAAAUGGGUGAGAUCUCCGGCUUGCUUGAACGGUGAAGCCGCGAGAUCGGAUCAGAGUGCCAAGUGGGCCAUUUUUGGUAAGCAGAACUGGCGCUGUGGGAUGAACCAAACGCAGAGUUAAAGCUCCUAAAUCGACGCUCAUGGGAUACCAUGAAAGGCGUUGGUAACUUAAGACAGCAGGACGGUGGCCAUGGAA